rnacentral:rRNA from 1 species
UACGUAGGGGGCUAGCGUUGUCCGGAAUUAUUGGGCGUAAAGAGCUCGUAGGCGGUUUGUCGCGUCUGCUGUGAAAACCCGAGGCUCAACCUCGGGCCUGCAGUGGGUACGGGCAGACUAGAGUGCGGUAGGGGAGAUUGGAAUUCCUGGUGUAGCGGUGGAAUGCGCAGAUAUCAGGAGGAACACCGAUGGCGAAGGCGGGUCUCUGGGCCGUAACUGACGCUGAGGAGCGAAAGCGUGGGGAGCAGACAGG